GAUGAACGCUGGCGGCGUGCCUAAUACAUGCAAGUCGAGCGGACGGACGAGGAGCUUGCUUCUCUGAUGUUAGCGGAGGGCGGGAGAGUAACGCGUGUAUACCCUACCUAUAAGACUGGUAAAACUUCGGAACACCGGAGCUAAUACGAGAUAAUCUUUUGAACCGCGUGGUUCGAUAGUGAGAGACGGUCUUGCUGUCACUUCUAGAUGGAUCCCGGCUUCAUUAGCUAGUUGGUAAGUUAACGGCUUACUAAGGCAACGAGGCAUAGCCGAACUGAUAGGGGGAUAGGCCACACGGGAGCUGAGACGCGCUCCAGAGUCCUAAGGGAGGCAGCAGUCGGGAAUCUGCGGCAGUGGGGGAAAGUAUGACGGAGUAGCGCCGCGUGAGAUACAAAGGCCUCCCGAGCGUAAAGCUCUGUUAUUAGGGAAGAACAUAUGUGGAAGGAACCGUGCAGAGCGUGACGGUACCGAAUCAGAAAGCCACGGCUAACUACGUG
rnacentral:rRNA from 1 species